AGUGAACGCUGGCGGUAGGCCUAACACAUGCAAGUCGAACGGCAGCACAGUAAGAGCUUGCUCUUACUGGUGGCGAGUGGCGGACGGGUGAGGAAUACAUCGGAAUCUACUUUUUCGUGGGGGAUAACGUAGGGAAACUUACGCUAAUACCGCAUACGACCUACGGUUGAAAGCAGGGGAUCUUCGGACCUUGCGCGAUUGAAUGAGCCGAUGUCGGAUUAGCUAGUUGGCGGGGCAAAGGCCCAGCAAGGCGACGAUCCGUAGCUGGUCUGAGCGGAUGAUCAGCCACACUGGAACUGAGACACGGUCCAGACUCCUACGGGAGGCCGCAGUGGGGAAUAUUGGACAAUGGGCGCAAGCAUGAUCCAGCCAUACCGCGUGGGUGACGAAGGCCUUCGGGUUGUAAAGCCCUUUUGUUGGGAAAGAAAAGCAGCAGGUUAAUAACCCGCUGUUCUGACGGUACCCAAAGAAUAAGCACCGGCUAACUUCGUG
rnacentral:rRNA from 1 species